rnacentral:rRNA from 1 species
AACAGGCUUAUCACUCCCAAGAGUUCACAUCGACGGAGUGGUUUGGCACCUCGAUGUCGGCUCAUCGCAUCCUGGGGCUGUAGUAGGUCCCAAGGGUUGGGCUGUUCGCCCAUUAAAGCGGUACGCGAGCUGGGUUCAGAACGUCGUGAGACAGUUCGGUCCCUAUCCGGCGUGGGCGUAGGAUAUUUGAGAGGAGCUGUCCUUAGUACGAGAGGACCGGGAUGGACGGACCGCUGGUGUACCGGCUGUACUGCCAAGUGCAAGGCCGGGUAGCCAAGUCUGGAAGGGAUAAACGCUGAAGGCAUCUAAGCGUGAAGCCCCCCUCAAGAUGAGAUAUCCCAUUCGAAAGAAGUAAGACCCCUUGAAGACGACGAGGUAGAUAGGGCAGAGGUGGAAGUGCAGUAAUGUAUGGAGCUGACUGUUACUAAUCGGUCGAGGGCUUGACCUA